CUGCAGCUCAAGUGGUGACCACUAUUAUUGGGCCUAAAACGUUCGUAGCCGGUUUGGUAAAUGCCUGGGUAAAUCGUGUAGCUUAACUAUACGAAUUCCGGGUAGACUGCCAAACUUGAGACCGGGAGAAGCUAGAGGUACUCCUGGGGUAGAGGUGAAAUUCUGUAAUCCUGGGGGGACCACCAGUGGCGAAGGCGUCUAGCUAGAACGGGUCUGACGGUGAGGAACGAAGCCCUGGGGCGCAAACCGGAUUAGAUACCCGAGUAGUCC
rnacentral:rRNA from 1 species